UGGGGAAUAUUGCACAAUGGGCGCAAGCCUGAUGCAGCCAUGCCGCGUGUGUGAAGAAGGCCUUCGGGUUGUAAAGCACUUUCAGCGAGGAGGAAGGCGUUAAGGUUAAUAACCUUAGCGAUUGACGUUACUCGCAGAAGAAGCACCGGCUAACUCCGUGCCAGCAGCCGCGGUAAUACGGAGGGUGCAAGCGUUAAUCGGAAUUACUGGGCGUAAAGCGCACGCAGGCGGUUUGUUAAGUCAGAUGUGAAAUCCCCGAGCUUAACUUGGGAACUGCAUU
rnacentral:rRNA from 1 species